CACCUGGAAAAGCUGUUGGACUCACCUGCUCAGAGCCUGAUGUCAGGUUGGUGGGAGGAGCCAGUCGCUGUGCAGGAACACUGGAGCUGAAACAUCAGGGAGUCUGGAGACCAGGGACUUACUCUGACUCUGUCUGGACCCAGAAGGAAGCAGCUGUUGUCUGUAGAGAGCUGGACUGUGGCUCUGCUGUUUCUGCAGGAGAAAGAAAGGAGCCCUCAUACAGACAUACGUGGUCGAUCUGGUCUGACUGUGUUCAGUCUGGAUCUGCUCUGAGGGACUGUGCAAAAUCAGAUUUCUCUCCCUCUGUCCUGGAUGUCACCUGCUCAGGUCCAACAGUUCCUCUCAUCAUUUUGGUCGUCCGGCCGCUGACUCUGCUGCUGGUGCUGGCACUGGUGAACGUUGCCCUUUAUUUCUACUAUAAGGCCAGCAGGGGGCAGAAGCCGGGCAGGCAGGAGGACAUUGAGCUGGAUUAUUAUAACCUGGGUGUUUCUGCAGCUGACUGAAGAGGAAGGAGCUCAGGGAGCAGAGUAGGACCUCCAAGGAGCUCAUCUCAGCUGCCACACAACCCACCAUCAGCUCAGACAAGGAUUUUACACUUUUAUACUGAUGUUCCCUUUAAACAAUCCGUCUGGAAUUAUUAGAUUAUAUUAGAAACUCUUUUUAUUACUCUCAACAUGAAAAGAGCAAAGCAGCAUUAGUCUUUUCAGACUUCCUGUCUGUGGCUCUCAGCUCCAAGCCCAUUGGUUCCUACUGAAGACGUCAAUCUUUAAAAAGUCCUCACAAAUAUAUAGUUUCAUUUUAAAACUAAGAAUCGGGGUCCAAACACCCGGCACAAUUCAGAACCAAAGCCAUGCCGACCCAGGAGGAUCUGGAAGUCCUUCUGGAACAACGUUGGCCAAGUCCUGUUUUUUUUAUAAUCAAUUAAACUAAAAGUGAAGCUUUGGCACAGAUCCUCUGUAUUUGGUUUCACAAUACUUGAUGUGCAAAUCACACUUGGGAACACGUGAACAACUGAAUCCUGAGGUCACAGAGCCUCCUGCUGCUGGAUCUGUAGAAAUGGAGGCAUCGAGGGCUGGAGACACAAAAUUGGUUCAGUUUGGUAAAAACACCGUUUUGUAAUAAAUUUUGUGUAAAUUUUGUGUAUUCAUAAUAAAUUUGCUUAAUGUUUUUAGCAUUAACCCAAAGGAAAACCCGCUCUCUUUCAAAGAUUUUAAUGAAUUAUGAUUCAGAUUCCACUCAGGAUGGAGGGAGACCCUUGAUAACAAGCUAGUUCCAACAUUUCUGGCUGACCUCAAUUAUCAAAUGUCCAACUCCAGGUUCAAAACGCUUCCCAAUCCUCCCCUCAGCAGCUUCAAGGAGUAGGGCAUCAGAACAUAGCGGGGCUGGAGCCAAUCCCAGCUGACAUCGGGCGAAAGGCGGGGUACACCCUGGACAGGUCGCCAGUCCAUCACAGGGCCACACAUAGACAAACAACCACUCACACUCACAUUCACACCUAAGGACAGCUUUUAAUGUCCUUUGAUUUUACUCAGCAUGUCAUGGGGCCAACACAGAAAUGUGGCCACACCCUAG